rnacentral:pre_miRNA from 1 species
UGUAACAGCAACUCCAUGUGGAAGCAUGAGGCAGUUCCCGUGGGGGGGCUGUUAUUUU